UACGUAGGGUGCGAGCGUUAAUCGGAAUUACUGGGCGUAAAGCGUGCGCAGGCGGUUCGUUGUGUCGGCGGUGAAAGCCCCGGGCUUAACCUGGGAAUGGCCGUUGAAACUGGCGAACUGGAGUGUGGCAGAGGGGGGUGGAAUUCCGCGUGUAGCAGUGAAAUGCGUAGAGAUGCGGAGGAACACCGAUGGCGAAGGCGGCCUGCUGGGCAGUGGCUGACGCUGAGGCGCGACAGCGUGGGGAGCAAACAGG
rnacentral:rRNA from 1 species